UCAUAUUUCAAAUUUCAUUUAGAUAUAUGAUUCAUCAAAUACACAUUAUGUGAGAAAUAUUACCUUGCAAGAUUUGAAGACUGUUGAGAAAUGGCCUUGGAUUUCCAGAAGUAAUAACAUAACAAUUGUAUAUGAACAUCCUAUUAAAGACAACAGUCUCAUAGUGACAUAUUCAAAAGAACCAAAGGUACAAUACCACCAAAUUACAGCAACAAGUGAAAUUCGGACACUGUCCUUUACAAAAACAAUAUCUCAAUUUAAAGACAAAACCUAUGUAUGGUCAAUCAUAGGCAAACCAGACCGUAUUAUUCAUAUAACUGUAUUUGUGAAAAACACAAAAAGUAUGCAGGAUAACUUUCCUUACAUAAAGAUUUAUAACUUUGGGGAAAGUCAUAUGACACAUUCAUUAACAAUAGAUGACCUAUCAGAUGGAUCGUAUCAAGCUGCCUUUGCUUGUCAAAACUUAACAAUCACGUGCAAGCCAUAUCAAUGGAGCAAGAAUAUACAAUUUUUCGUCCACGAAGAAGAAAAAAUACAGUAUCAACAACUAGCUGCAUCAAGCAAAUUAACGACCUUGUCUUUGAAACGGAAUAAGUCUACGUUUGAAAAUACAACAUAUGUUUGGUCUAUUUCUACCGAAUUAGAUACUCUCAUAUACAUCAAAAUAUCCCUGAAUGAAAUGCUGACGGAUUAUCUUCCAAACAUUGAGAUUAAUAACUUUGACGACACAGCCUCUUCUACUUUAUUAUCAUCGGAUGAGAUAAUUGAUGGGGAAUACGAACAGGAAUUUGCCAGUAAAAACUUAACAAUUAGUUGUAAGCCCUAUCAGUGGUGCAAGAAUAUAACAAUAGAAGUCCAGAAAAGAGAAAAGGAAGUCAUAGAACAUAUAAAUGCAACUACAGAUAUAUCAGUGUUAUCUGUUGGAAAUAGUACAGCUGUAUACGAGAAUAAGACUCAUAAUUGGACUAUAUACGCUCAUCAAGAUCACAUUAUAUAUGUAGCUGUAACUCUAUUGAACUAUGAACAAAUGUAUGGAAAAAGCUUUCCGGAC